GACGAACGCUGGCGGCGUGCUUAACACAUGCAAGUCGAACGGACAGACAGAGAGCUUGCUCUCUUGAAGUUAGUGGCGAACGGGUGAGUAACGCGUAAUCAACCUGCCCUUCAGAGGGGGAUAACAACGGGAAACCGUUGCUAAUACCGCGUACGAUUCAUGAACGGCAUCGUUUAUGAAUGAAAGGUGGCCUCUAUGUAUAAGCUAUCGCUGAAGGAGGGGAUUGCGUCUGAUUAGCUAGUUGGAGGGGUAACGGCCCACCAAGGCAAUGAUCAGUAGCCGGUCUGAGAGGAUGAACGGCCACAUUGGGACUGAGACACGGCCCAAACUCCUACGGGAGGCAGCAGUGGGGAAUCUUCCGCAAUGGACGAAGGUCUGACGGAGCAACGCCGCGUGAGUGAUGAAGGUCUUCGGAUUGUAAAGCUCUGUUAAUCGGGACGAAAGAGUUCUGCGUGAAUAAUGCAGAAAAGUGACGGUACCGGAAUAGAAAGCCAUGGCUAACUACGUGCCAGCCGCCGCAGUAA
rnacentral:rRNA from 1 species